rnacentral:rRNA from 1 species
CUGCGGAAGGAUCAUUAACAUAAUAUUCUUACACACUGUUUUUUUUACAACAAAAAAAAUCUAUCUAAAAACAAUUCUUUACAAGAAAUUCUUAAAACUUUCAACAACGGAUCUCUUGGUUCUCGCAUCGAUGAAGAACGCAGCGAAAUGCGAUACGUAAUACGAAUCGCAGCUCUCGGAAUCAUCGAAUCUUUGAACGCACAUUGCACCAUUGGGUAUUCCCAAUGGUAUGCUUGUUUGAGCGAAUACUUCCCUAAUCCUCACGGAUUGUAUUGUGUUUGCACGAAAAUAAUGACGACAGUACUCUACAAAACGGUACCGUCAGUACACUCAUUUUUUUUCCUCAAAUCAAGUAGGACUACCCGCUGAACUUAAGCAUAUCAAUAAGCGGAGGAAAAGAAACCAACAGGGAUUGCCUCAGUAACGGCGAGUGAAGCGGCAAAAGCUCAAAUUUGAAAUCCCCCCGGGGAGUUGUAAUUUGAAGAUUGCGUCUUGGAGGCGACCGUGUCUAUGUUCCUUGGAACAGGACGUCACAGAGGGUGAGAAUCCCGUGCGGCACGGCCCCCGGCUCCUUAUAAGGCGCUCUCGACGAGUCGAGUUGUUUGGGAAUGCAGCUCAAAGUGGGUGGUAAAUUCCAUCUAAAGCUAAAUACAGGCGAGAGACCGAUAGCGAACAAGUACAGUGAUGGAAAGAUGAAAAGCACUUUGAAAAGAGAGUGAAACAGCACGUGAAAUUGUUGAAAGGGAAGGGCAUGCCGUCAGAUUGUCAGUGUGGGUAAGAAGCGGGGUACAAAGACUGUGGAACGUGGCCCUCGGGUGUUAUAGCCGCAGUUCAUGCCCCGUCUCUUUCCGAGGCCUGCUUUGAGGACACCGACGUAAUGACGGUACGCCGCCCGU